UCUAGUAACCACAGUGGUAGUGUAUCAAGGGUUGGACUUGAUGAUCUCAGAGGUCUUUUCCAACCCAGUUGAUUCUAUGAUUCUAUGAGGGACUGAAAGUGUUCUGUCUCUAAGCAGCCAUUCAGCUGGAGAAGUAAGUUACAAGAACAGUCUGUGGUUAAGGUAUUAUGGUUAGACAACCUUUCUCCACUCUGCAAAAUUCUGCCCUCUGCAAGUAUUAGGCAGCAACUCAGGACCUGAUUGAAAACACAGUGAAGUUGCAAGAAUCAUUUUAACGAACUUCAGUAGCUUUUGGAUCAACCUGCAAAGAUGCUGUACAAAGUGCACAUCUCUACGGGCACAGGGUGUUGUGGCAAGAAAUACAUUCAAAGACAUCUGGGACUCAUAUGCCAGAAACAGUAAUGAAAUGUCUGGAGACUCUUCAAACUAAAGUCUGAUUAGACAAUAACCAGUGGGAAAAGACAGUAUAUUUGGACUUCUAGUGUCUGGAGAGUUCUAUGUUAAAGAAAGAAGAACAGAAAAUUAUAGCAUGAAAACCCCA